rnacentral:rRNA from 1 species
CCUACGGGUGGCUGCAGUCGAGGAUCUUCGGCAAUGGGCGCAAGCCUGACCGAGCGACGCCGCGUGUGGGAUGAAGGCCUUCGGGUUGUAAACCACUGUCGUGGGGGAGGAAGUCCGUUGAACCGGAUUGACCUAUCCCAGGAGGAAGCACGGGCUAAGUUCGUGCCAGCAGCCGCGGUAAGACGAACCGUGCGAACGUUGUUCGGAUUCACUGGGCUUAAAGGGCGCGUAGGCGGCCGUCCCAGUCUGGGGUGAAAGCCCCCGGCUCAACCGGGGAAUUGCCUGGGAUACUGGACGGCUCGAGGGAGGUAGGGGCACGCGGAACGGCCAGUGGAGCGGUGAAAUGCGUUGAUAUUGGCAGGAACGCCAGUGGCGAAAGCGGCGUGCUGGAUCUCUCCUGACGCUGAGGCGCGAAAGCUAGGGAAGCAAACGGGAUUAGA